rnacentral:rRNA from 1 species
GUGCAGCAGGCGCGAAAUUUGGGCAAUGGGGGAAACCCUGACCCAGCGACGCCGCGUGCGGGACGAAGCCCCUCAGGGGUGUAAACCGCUGUCAGGGAGGACGAUGCCUCUGUGAGCGAAUAACUUACAGAGGUGACGGUACUCCCAGAGGAAGCCCAGGCUAACCUCGUGCCAGCAGCCGCGGUAAUACGGGGUGGGCAAGCGUUGCCCGGAAUUACUGGGCUUAAAGGGGAUGUAGGCGGUUUGGUAAGUCGGGCGUGUAAUCCACAGGCUCAACCUGUGAACUGCGCCCGAAACUACCAGGCUAGAGGAUGGGAGGGGAGAGCGGAACUCCCGGUGUAGCGGUGAAAUGCGUAGAUAUCGGGGGGAACGCCAGUGGCGAAGGCGGCUCUCUGGCCCCAUUCCUGACGCUGAGGUCCGAAAGCCAGGGUAGCGAAGGGGAUUAGAUACCCCGGUAGU